AACGCUGGCGGCGUGCCUAACACAUGCAAGUCGAACGGAGAAGUUGAUUUCGGUUGACUUCUUAGUGGCGAACGGGUGAGUAACGCGUGAACAACCUGACCUCAAGAGGGGGAUACCAACGAGAAAUCGUUGUUAAUACCGCAUAAGACCACAGCGCCGCAUGGCAAAGGGGUCAAAGGAGCAAUCCGCUUGAGGAGGGGUUCGCGUCCCAUUAGGUAGUAGGCGGGGUAACGGCCCACCUAGCCAGCGAUGGGUAGCCGAGCUGAGAGGCUGAACGGCCACACUGGAACUGAGACACGGUCCAGACUCCUACGGGAGGCAGCAGUGGGGAAUAUUGGGCAAUGGGCGCAAGCCUGACCCAGCAACGCCGCGUGAGGGAAGAAGGUUUUCGGAUUGUAAACCUCUGUCGCAGAUGACGAAGGAAGUGACGGUAAUCUGUGAGGAAGCCCCGGCUAACUACGUG
rnacentral:rRNA from 1 species